GACGAACGCUGGCGGCGUGCCUAAUACAUGCAAGUUGAGCGCUGAAGGUUGGUACUUGUACCAACUGGAUGAGCAGCGAACGGGUGAGUAACGCGUGGGGAAUCUGCCUUUGAGCGGGGGACAACAUUUGGAAACGAAUGCUAAUACCGCAUAAAAACUUUAAACACAAGUUUUAAGUUUGAAAGAUGCAAUUGCAUCACUCAAAGAUGAUCCCGCGUUGUAUUAGCUAGUUGGUGAGGUAAAGGCUCACCAAGGCGAUGAUACAUAGCCGACCUGAGAGGGUGAUCGGCCACAUUGGGACUGAGACACGGCCCAAACUCCUACGGGAGGCAGCAGUAGGGAACCUUCGGCAAUGGACGAAAGUCUGACCGAGCAACGCCGCGUGAGUGAAGAAGGUUUUCGGAUCGUAAAACUCUGUUGGUAGAGAAGAACGUUGGUGAGAGUGGAAAGCUCAUCAAGUGACGGUAACUACCCAGAAAGGGACGGCUAACUACGUG
rnacentral:rRNA from 1 species